AUUGAAAGCUGGCGGCAGGUCUAACAGCUGCAAGUCGAGCGGAGCGACGGACGCGUGAGUAAUGUCUAGGAAUCUGCCUGGUAGAGGGGGAUAACGUCCGGAAAGGGGCGCUAAUAAAGCAUACGAGCAGAGGAGCCUAGGUAGGAUUAGCUAGUUGGUGGGGUAAAGGCCUACCAAGGCGACGAUCCGUAACUGGUCUGCGAGGAUGAUCAGUCACACUGGAACUGAGACACGGUCCAGACUCCUACGGGAGGCAGCAUUGGGGAAUAUUGGACAAUGGGCGAAAGCCUGAUCCAGCCAUGCCGCGUGUGUGAAGACGGUCUUCGGAUUGUAAAGCACUUUAAGUUGGGAGGCGUUACCAACAGCAUAAUCACCGGCUAACUUCGUGCCAGCAGCCGCGGUAAUUC
rnacentral:rRNA from 1 species